rnacentral:snoRNA from 10 species
CUGAGAAUAUCUUGCUGUUCUGAUUUUGUAAUAGGACAGGCUAUAAAGAUUGGCUAUAUUAAGGCCACGCACAUGUCCCCAGACUUAAUUCUUUCCCUAGGUCUGGUUUUAUAAACUCUGGUAAUAAAC